rnacentral:rRNA from 1 species
GACGAACGCUGGCGGCGUGCUUAACACAUGCCAGUCGAACGGUGAAGCGCCUUCCUUUUUGGUGGGUGUGGAUGAGUGGCGAACGGGUGAGUAACACGUGAGUAACCUGCCCCCUUCUUCUGGAUAACCGCAUGAAAGUGUGGCUAAUACGGGAUAUUCUGGGUCUGUCGCAUGAUGGGUCUGGGAAAGAUAUUGUUUCGGUGGGGGAUGGGCUCGCGGCCUAUCAGCUUGUUGGUGGGGUGAUGGCCUACCAAGGCGGUGACGGGUAGCCGGCCUGAGAGGGUGGACGGUCACACUGGGACUGAGACACGGCCCAGACUCCUACGGGAGGCAGCAGUGGGGAAUAUUGCACAAUGGGCGCAAGCCUGAUGCAGCGACGCCGCGUGAGGGAUGGAGGCCUUCGGGUUGUGAACCUCUUUCGCCAGUGAAGCAGGCCUGCCUCGUUUGUGGGUGGGUUGACGGUAGCUAGAUAAGAAGCGCCGGCUAACUACGUG